CUUCAAUCUAGACGAGUCAUGAAUACUAGUAAUAACGAAUUGAGUAAUCCAAUGUACAAUUUCUGUUCACUUGCUGCUGUGCCUUUUUGUUGUGCCCACGUUGUGGCUGAGUUUGCAUUUUUCCUACCAGUGUUAUGUACACCAACGCGUGUCUGAGGAUUAUCCCAUGCAAGGGGUGAUAAACUUAUCUCAAAUGUGAUGAUGAUACUUUGAGGAUUAUUGUGUGCAGAGUUGAAGGUAAUAUAAAAUCUAUUGGAAUCAUAACUUAACUUUUAUAUACUUCUUACGAAUUUAUAACGCAAUCUGUAAAAUAAAAAUUGAGAUCAAAAAGCUCCAUAUGCCAUAGGCCAAGGAAUGCACAGUUGGAAACUUUGAUAGAUUUUAAAUUAAAAAUUUAAGAACAGCAAAUAGAUUUUAUAUUCCUCAAAUCAUAGAAAACUCUAAACCAACAGAAGAAUACAUGGCUUGCACCAAUUCAAUAAUAUGGACCGCAUGAAAAAACGAUACAACUUAAUUAUAGAGUUCAAAAAUCUCUUGGCAGUAAUACGGCUAACAAAUCAUUUUCAAUGAAUCAUGAAUAGAAGCAGUGAAUCAUACAACCAUGGAAUUUAAAUUCACAGGAUAUUAAUACAGACACACAAAACAGUAUAAACACAGAAUUGAUGGAAUAAAAAAUGGCACGAACACUUAAUUGAAAACCCUGGAAAUACGAUUUUACUGUAAAUUAAGCUUCAUAAAUUACAGAUUUUCAUUGUUCUUAAAAAACAGAUUACCAUUGUUCUAGAAAAAACUCUCUCCGAAAAAAUAUUAAAAAAAUUCA